rnacentral:lncRNA from 1 species
CUGCAGAAUUGGAUGUAGCCAGGAAGCGUAACCUCCCAAAAAAGCUUAUGGUUUCUUCAAAUACCAUUUAGGUAGAAUCACUCAAGAACCACUCUAAAAGUUUAAUCCUGUCAGAUUGAGUCCAAAUAUUCAUUACGGGUUCCAGAAAGUAUUUAGAGACAUAAUAGUAUUAAAAUCUCAACUUUAUUUGGCCAACAAAUUCAGUUCCAAUGUUAUUGUAAGCGGAAUGCUAAGAACUAGGCCUGAUGCAGGUCAGGCCUUUGAGGCACUCCCUUGUUCAAGUUCCUCCCCCAAACCCAGUAAUUGCAAAUUUCGUUUCAUGUAUUUUUAUCAGGCCCUCCCAUACCACCCACCUUCCUGGUCAACCCAUUCAAACUAAUGCAUGGGAAGUGACUGCAAAAUGGUCUCGCAUUUGAUCAAAAGGAUGGCAGCACAUCUAAGCUGGUGAGCCAGCAAUCACUUCCACCCUUAGAGCCUGCCAUAGCCAGUGCACAGUAUUCCACCCUUCCACAUUUUGAAGUCAUCUUUAAGUGUCUUAAAGCAGAAGGGAAAGGAAAUGAAAUGUCUAGCGAGCAUGAAGAGAAGCACCUUCACAUCCACCUUUCACCAGGACUGAUGCAGUCAGCCUAUUGCCUCUUCCCCUACAUACUUUGAUUCCAGGGAAGAACAGCUGAGACAAAUGAGAACCCUGACAGGUGGAGAAAUCUACAGGCUUUUCAAAGAAAAAGAAAGAAAAAGCUUUCUUGGAAGAUAUUAGUGGCAAUGCUUCAGAAUGUUGGGCAAUUAAAUUCAUGCUACCACUUCACAACUUGCUUCUAACCCAAGAGAACAAAAUACUUGAAACAAAACUGUGUACAAAAAAGUACAUCACAAUAAAAAAAAUAAUGAACCCAGCUGGCUGGGCUGGCUACCUAGUGAUAGAUCCCUUCUCAAAAGUGAAAAGAAAGAAAAAAGAUAGUGAAGUGUAAAGACAAGUGAGGGCGAAGCGUUACUUUAAGAGCCAAUCCCUGGAUUUCCAGUCAUUCACCUUCUGCUUUAAAUCUUAAUGGGUUUCUGACUCAUUGGGUUGCGUAACAGCAACCAAUUUAGUGUCUGAUUUUUGGGUGAUGUAGAUCAGUCAUCUCUUUACAAUUCAUCCUUUUGGAUUUUUUGCUCAUCAUCAUCACCUUCCUCAAGGUCCGUUUCUUCAUCUGUCUCCAGAUCUUCCAGAUCAUCAUCAGCUGCUGCUCCAUCCUGGCCUCCACUCUCCAAGAAUUUUUUGAAGCCUUCUAGUGUCCUCUCUCCAUUAUAGUCAAUUACGUUUCUGCCAGAGCCUGCAGGGAAGAACUUGAGCGUGGGGAAGCUGUGAAUUUUCACUGCCUCUACUUCAUUGGCUGUUGAAUCCAUCUUGGCAAUGACAAUGUUCUCAUGGUCUCUGUAGGUCUCUCCCAGCUUGUCCCAGAUCGGAGCCAGCUGCUUACAGUGACCACACCAGGGGGCAUAGAACUCCACAAAGACAUUCUUAUUCUCAUCAAAAGCAACUUCCUCAAAAUUCUUCCCAACAAGAACUUUGACAGGCUGCUUGUCCCAGUCUUCAGGGAGAUCCUGGCUCAUCAGGUGAGGCUUGAUCUUGCCCUCCAGGAAUUUAUUACAGAAUUCUUUGAUUAUCACUGUGGUCACUGUCUAUGAAGAUGAACAGGAUCUUCCCUUUGAAGUUUCCAGCUGCAGUCUUGAAGUUGUCCAAUUUCCCUUCAUAAUCAGACACACUUUUUGGUAAGAACAGCAGAAUGUGAGUCUUGAUCUCUCCUCCAAAGAUUUUAGGAGCAGUCUGCUCAGUAAACUCUAUGACAAGAGGCAGCUGAUUAGACUUGAUGAAGUUCAGCAAGUUAUCUUUGGUAAGAUCCCCUUCAAAGUUGUUACGUCCUUCAUCAAACUUCUUGAAAAGGACCACUCCAUCUUGGCUAAGCUGGUACUUGGAGAAGACGUCAGCGCUGGAAGAAAUCCCAAAAGGAAUGUCAUCCACGGAUUCUGCUGCCAACAAAAACUCCUUCGCAGCAUCUGAUGUCACAUCCUUAAAGAAACCAAUCACAACCACUUCACUGGAAUCCACCAAUGUCUCUGCUGCAGCAGCAUCUGUCAGGGUAGUGGCAGCCGGUCCCGUGCGCUUCUUCAGCCAGCUGACAAUAUCAUCUGCUUCCCUGCCAGCUGUGUACUCGCGGGGCGCGGCCUUGUCCCCGUUGCGGAAGAACUUGAUGGUGGGGUACCCGCGCACGCCGAACUGCUGCGCCAGCUCCGCCUCCUCCGUGGCGUCCACCUUGGCCAGGCGGAUCUCGGAACCCUCCGCCUUCAGCUGCGCCGCCGCCUUCGCGUACUCCGGGGCCAACGCCUUGCAGUGCCCGCACCACGGCGCGUCUGCGGGGCGGCAGUCAGCGGGGCUGCGGGCACGGCCCACCGCACGGCCCGCCCCGCCGCCCCCAGCCCAGCUCGGCCCGCUCCGCCGCUCCUCCGUCCCGGCCCCGCCCGCCCCACGGACACUCACAGAACUCCACCAGCAGCAGCCGGUGCUCGCGCAGGGCGCGCUCGAAGUUGUGCUCGUGGAGCACCAGGACGCCGUCCUCCUCCUCCAGGGGCUCCGCGAGGCCGAGCGGCGGCACGAGGCAGAGCAGCGCUACGAUCGCGCGCAGCCGCACCACGGCCAUGGCGGCGCUGAGACGGGACGGGCCGGGACGGGCGUGCGGCUGCCGGCGCCGCCUCCCUUAUAAACCCGCCUCCCACCGCCGCCGCGCCCCAUUGGUCGCGCCGCGCUGGCGCCGCCGCCGUCCGUCAUUGGCUCGGUGCGGCGCCCGAGCGGCCGCGCGGCUCCC